UCCAUCACAGAAACACAUCUCAACACAUCCAAGGUUAUGAGGAUGUGAGAAUGUCUUCGCUGCAUUAUUAUUUUUCAGCAUUGCCUCUGCUGACUUCAUGGGAGGAAUGGUGUUUCUUCUUCUCUCCCAUGUCAUGGAAGACACUCCUGAUGGCAUGUCUGUAGGUCUGUAGGAAAGAAUAAUCACCUCAGUAGCUUAGUGUGUGUAUGUGUGUGUGUGUGUCUGACACACUGUAGGUACAUAAUAAAGAUUUGAAAAUAUGAGUUUUUUUUAAUCCAAGCAGUGCCAUGUGUUUACUUGGAUUAGUAAUUGUACCAAUCUACAUUUUAAAGGUAAAACUAGCCAUUCAUUCUUUUGUUUCAGCAGUUGCCUAAUUUUAUUGUUUAAGUAUAAUGUGAGUGAAGGAAACUUCCUAGUUAGAAAUCUAUGAAUAUUAACUUCUUGUCUUCACUAACCAGAGUUGUUCUCAACUCAUAACACGUGGUUUGGUAAACCAUUUGCAAUGUAAACAUAGCAGAUUUUACUUGUAGUUUCAUAAUUUAGGCAGGUUGGCUCUGUAUUAUUUCUAGAAUCACAGGUAUCUGGAUGAAGAAUCACCAUUUUGUCAUUAGAGAUUACAACAAAUGUAGUUUAUUCUUUUUACCGGUAAUAUCAAUGUAAGCAAAAAUUAUACUUUUUAGCUAAGCAUG
rnacentral:lncRNA from 1 species